rnacentral:rRNA from 1 species
AGCCGAUGAAGGACGUUACUAACGACGAUAUGCUUUGGGGAGCUGUAAGUAAGCUUUGAUCCAGAGAUUUCCGAAUGGGGAAACCCAGCAUGAGUUAUGUCAUGUUAUCGAUAUGUGAAUACAUAGCAUAUCAGAAGGCACACCCGGAGAACUGAAACAUCUUAGUACCCGGAGGAAGAGAAAGAAAAUUCGAUUCCCUUAGUAGCGGCGAGCGAAACGGGAAGAGCCCAAACCAACAAGCUUGCUUGUUGGGGUUGUAGGACACUCUAUACGGAGUUACAAAGGACGACAUUAGACGAAUCAUCUGGAAAGAUGAAUCAAAGAAGGUAAUAAUCCUGUAGUCGAAAAUGUUGUCUCUCUUGAGUGGAUCCUGAGUACG